rnacentral:rRNA from 1 species
UUAUUGGGUUUAAAGGGUCCGUAGGCGGAUCUGUAAGUCAGUGGUGAAAUCUCACAGCUUAACUGUGAAACUGCCAUUGAUACUGCAGGUCUUGAGUGUUGUUGAAGUAGCUGGAAUAAGUAGUGUAGCGGUGAAAUGCAUAGAUAUUACUUAGAACACCAAUUGCGAAGGCAGGUUACUAAGCAACAACUGACGCUGAUGGACGAAAGCGUGGGGAGCGAACAGGAUUAGAUACCCUGGUAGUCCACGCCGUAAACGAUGCUAACUCGUUUUUGGAUUUUCGGAUUCAGAGACUAAGCGAAAGUGAUAAGUUAGCCACCUGGGGAGUACGUUCGCAAGAAUGAAACUCAAAGGAAUUGACGGGGGCCCGCACAAGCGGUGGAUUAUGUGGUUUAAUUCGAUGAUACGCGAGGAACCUUACCAAGGCUUAAAUGGGAAAUGACAGGUUUAGAAAUAGACUUUUCUUCGGACAUUUUUCAAGGUGCUGCAUGGUUGUCGUCAGCUCGUGCCGUGAGGUGUUAGGUUAAGUCCUGCAACGAGCGCAACCCCUGUCACUAGUUGCCAUCAUUAAGUUGGGGACUCUAGUGAGACUGCCUACGCAAGUAGAGAGGAAGGUGGGGAUGACGUCAAAUCAUCACGGCCCUUACGCCUUGGGCCACACACGUAAUACAAUGGCCAGUACAGAGGGCAGCUACACAGCGAUGUGAUGCAAAUCUCGAAAGCUGGUCUCAGUUCGGAUUGGAGUCUGCAACUCGACUCUAUGAAGCUGGAAUCGCUAGUAAUCGCGCAUCAGCCAUGGCGCGGUGAAUACGUUCCCGGGCCUUGUACACACCGCCCGUCAAGCCAUGGAAGUCUGGGGUACCUGAAGUCGGUGACCGUAACAGGAGCUGCCUAGGGUAAAACAGGUAACUAGGGCUAGC